CCUACGGGUGGCAGCAGUGAGGAAUAUUGGUCAAUGGACGCGAGUCUGAACCAGCCAAGUAGCGUGAAGGAUGACUGCCCUAUGGGUUGUAAACUUCUUUUAUAUGGAAAUAAAAUGUUCCACGUGUGGGAUUUUGUAUGUACCCUAUGAAUAAGGAUCGGCUAACUCCGUGCCAGCAGCCGCGGUCAUACGGAGGAUCCGAGCGUUAUCCGGGUUUAUUGGGGUAAAAGGGAGCGUAGGUGGAUGGUUAAGUCAGUUGUGAAAGUUUGCGGCUAAACCGUAAAAUUGCAGUUUAAACUGGCAGCCUGAGUACAGUAGAGGCGGGCGGAAUGCGUGGUGUAGCGGUGAAAUGCUUAGAUAUCACGAAGAACUCCGAUGGCGAAGGCAGCUAACUGGACUGCAACUGACACUGAGGCUCGAAAGUGUGGGUAUCAAACAGGAUUAGAUACCCCAGUAGUC
rnacentral:rRNA from 1 species